AAAUGUUGUAGUAGAAUAUUUAAAAUUACAGUCGUUCAAUGUGAAAAAAAAUUAAAACGAUUUUUCUUUUAUUUUUAUAGCUAUAUUUUCACGGUGCAUUAAAUUUUUGUUUAUAAACUUUGUAUGCGAUAUUAAAAAAAAAAACAACAAUUUAUUUUUCUUAUGUUAAAUCGGGCUUCUUUGGUCUUCCUAAUUUAUAAUACCGUUAAAAUAGCAAGAACUGAGAUAAAUCUUUCUUCAACGACUCCAGAAGCUAACUUCCAAAUGCUCCCAGAGCAACCAGCGACAACAGCACUGAAACCCAAAAUGGUGAAGGAAGUUAUUUUUUCGAUUCCUGUAAGUUUUAAAUGCAGCUUAGUACAUUAUUUCCAAGCUUAAUAAAAAUUCUUUAGCAACAAUUCUUGCUUUUACAAAAUUUUACCCACCUUUACUAACAAUAUUCCAAUUUUGUAUUCUAAACUGAUUUCAAAAUCAAUUGGAUUCACUUUAAAAUCAUAUUCUAUCAAAAUUUUUUAUCACAUAAUAAAUUGAAAGUGUUAUUAA